CCAAUAAAAGCUCACACAAAGAAAUCAUGUAUCUAAAUUUGAAAAUUACCCUCAACCCUAAAAGCUCACACAAAGAAACGUAAAGAUUGAAGACAGACAUAGCGCUCUGCAGAUUUCGUUCAGCUUCUUCUCUCAUCUCCAAGUUUCUUCCUCCCUCCAACACUCUCCGCUCUUUCUCCUCAGGUCAAGGGGGGAAGCUGGUUUGCUCGGCGGGCAAUUCAGCUAAGAUUUUGAAGAAGCCCACUGGAAGGUAUUGUUUGAUGAGGCUGCCUUCGGGGGAUGAGAAAUUGAUUGAUAGUAAGUGUUGGUCUAUGAUUGGUUCAGUGUUAAACCCGAGUCAUAAGACGAAGAAGCUUAGGAAGGCAGGGCAGAACAGGUGGCUGGGGCGAAGACCAGUGGUUAGAGGAGUGGCAAUGAAUCCAGUUGAUCAUCCUUAUGGAGGAGGGGAGGGAAGAAGCAAGAGUAGUGGUAGUCAUGGAAGGACUUCGCUUACGCCGUGAGGAAAGCCUUGUAAGUCUAGUUACAAGAUUGCUUCUCCUAAGAAGAGAAAGUAAAGGAGAUUAUUAUGCGUUUGAUGUUUGAAGGAUUUUGUUUAUCGUUAAUAAGAUUCAAGUCUAUUUUUGGAUUGA